GUAAGAAGUACAGAGCAUACCUAAAAACAAUAGGUUGGUAACAGACAUUGUUUAGCAAUGUAUCAUAGCAACAGAGCAGAGAAGACUGUGAGCCGAGACACUCAACCAAUAAGUGCCAGCAGAGGCUUUACCUGUGUUGGACCCAGGGGACGAAAGGGAAUGGAUUUCACCUACUAGAUCCAUCACAGAUGAAUAACGUUAUGCCAACAUCCCCCCUCCUUCCUCAGAUGGCACAUCAACACUCAUAUCCCAGCUUGGGACAGAUCACAAACCCAUAUGAGCAACAGCCCCCAGGCAAAGAGCUUAACAAGUAUGCCUCUCUAAAGGCAGUCGGUAAGUCAGUAACAUUAUGCAUGACUUCUGCUACCCGGCAGCACGCUGCA
rnacentral:lncRNA from 1 species